UCGUCGUCCCACUCCUCGUUGGCCCUUACUUCCUCUGAGUACCGGUCCCGGGAGUGACGUCGCUCCGGCCGAUACCCCUCCAGCUCCCGCUCGGGUCGCUUGGAGCUCUCCCCCACCUGGUAACUGCUCUUCGUCAUCCUUUUCUCUCCGGCCGCCAUGUAUUUCUUUCACGUCAGGUUCACCACUGUUGGUGUGUGGGCUCGUCGGUGUAAGCUCACAACCUCAACUCUCCCAAGUAUUCACUCUCCAGAACUGUC
rnacentral:lncRNA from 1 species